GCAGAAUGCUGCAGACACUCUGGGCCCCUUUGUCUGCGUGGAACGGAUCUCUAGUCACAGUUAAAAGAAAACAGCAACAACAAGAAGAGAACAACAAUCACAAGGAACCAUGUCAUCCGUGGCAUCUUUAGGAGGAUGUGCAGCACUCUGAACAUGGUUCCAAGGACUUUAGUAGAUGUCUAUUGCGUUGUCAGCCUGACAGGAUCCAAACCUGAGGUCUCUGUCAUCAUUGCUCCAUGACACAUACACCCUUGGCAAGCAAUUAGAUGUCUAUGUUCCUUGAGGUUGAAGGAGAAAUGGACAAGAUCCAAGGCCAUAUUUUGGGGGAAGGAAAAGACUGAACCUCACUCAGCCUCACCCAGGUUAGUUCUCUUGGCUACUUCAAAAAACAAGGAGUGUGAGAGGAAUCCUGGGAACAUAGGAGUUAUGAGAACCUCUUCUCAGAAUGGUAAGUUCC
rnacentral:lncRNA from 1 species